CGAGAAAAGCCUCUAGAUAGAAAAUAGGUGCCCGUACCGCAAACCGACACAGGUAGUCAAGAUGAGAAUUCUAAGGUGAGCGAGCGAACUCUCGUUAAGGAACUCGGCAAAAUGACCCCGUAACUUCGGGAGAAGGGGUGCUCUUUAGGGUUAACGCCCAGAAGAGCCGCAGUGAAUAGGCCCAAGCGACUGUUUAUCAAAAACACAGGUCUCUGCUAAACCGUAAGGUGAUGUAUAGGGGCUGACGCCUGCCCGGUGCUGGAAGGUUAAGAGGAGUGGUUAGCUUCUGCGAAGCUACGAAUCGAAGCCCCAGUAAACGGCGGCCGUAACUAUAACGGUCCUAAGGUAGCGAAAUUCCUUGUCGGGUAAGUUCCGACCCGCACGAAAGGCGUAACGAUUUGGGCACUGUCUCAACGAGAGACUCGGUGAAAUCAUAGUACCUGUGAAGAUGCAGGUUACCCGCGACAGGACGGAAAGACCCCGUGGAGCUUUACUGUAGCCUGAUAUUGAAAUUCGGCACAGCUUGUACAGGAUAGGUAGGAGCCUUUGAAACGUGAGCGCUAGCUUACGUGGAGGCGCUGGUGGGAUACUACCCUAGCUGUGUUGGCUUUCUAACCCGCACCACUUAUCGUGGUGGGAGACAGUGUCAGGCGGGCAGUUUGACUGGGGCGGUCGCCUCCUAAAAGGUAACGGAGGCGCUCAAAGGUUCCCUCAGAAUGGUUGGAAAUCAUUCAUAGAGUGUAAAGGCAUAAGGGAGCUUGACUGCGAGACCUACAAGUCGAGCAGGGUCGAAAGACGGACUUAGUGAUCCGGUGGUUCCGCAUGGAAGGGCCAUCGCUCAACGGAUAAAAGCUACCCCGGGGAUAACAGGCUUAUCUCCCCCAAGAGUUCACAUCGACGGGGAGGUUUGGCACCUCGAUGUCGGCUCAUCGCAUCCUGGGGCUGUAGUCGGUCCCAAGGGUUGGGCUGUUCGCCCAUUAAAGCGGUACGCGAGCUGGGUUCAGAACGUCGUGAGACAGUUCGGUCCCUAUCCGUCGUGGGCGUAGGAAAUUUGAGAGGAGCUGUCCUUAGUACGAGAGGACCGGGAUGGACAUACCUCUGGUGUACCAGUUGUCGUGCCAACGGCAUAGCUGGGUAGCUAUGUGUGGACGGGAUAAGUGCUGAAAGCAUCUAAGCAUGAAGCCCCCCUCAAGAUGAGAUUUCCCAACUUCGGUUAUAAGAUCCCUCAAAGAUGAUGAGGUUAAUAGGUUCGAGGUGGAAGCAUGGUGACAUGUGGAGCUGACGAAUACUAAUCGAUCGAAGACUUAAUCAA
rnacentral:rRNA from 1 species